GAUGAACGCUAGCUACAGGCUUAACACAUGCAAGUCGCGGGGCAGCAUGGGGGUUGCUUGCAACCCCUGAUGGCGACCGGCGCACGGGUGAGUAACGCGUAUCCAACCUGCCCUUCACCACGGGAUAACCCGGCGAAAGUCGGACUAAUACCGUAUGUUGUCCAUUGACGGCAUCCGAUUUGGACGAAAUGCUUGGCGGUGAGAGGAUGGGGAUGCGUCCGAUUAGCUUGACGGCGGGGUAACGGCCCACCGUGGCUACGAUCGGUAGGGGUUCUGAGAGGAAGGUCCCCCACACUGGAACUGAGACACGGUCCAGACUCCUACGGGAGGCAGCAGUGAGGAAUAUUGGUCAAUGGGCGUAAGCCUGAACCAGCCAAGUAGCGUGCAGGAUGACGGCCCUAUGGGUUGUAAACUGCUUUUAUGCGGGGAUAAAGUGGCCCACGUGUGGGCUUUUGCAGGUACCGCAUGAAUAAGGACCGGCUAAUUCCGUG
rnacentral:rRNA from 1 species